CCGACACUAUCAUUGGGGAGUAGCCAUCCUUCAGCCGUACUGGGAGUACUGCUAGGGAGUCCACGUCAACAAACUUGAGGUUUAUUUCCUCAUGGCGUGGUCAGCCAUUGCGAAAGCAUAGCC
rnacentral:sRNA from 2 species